AGAGUUUGAUUCUGGCUCAGAACGAACGCUGGCGGCGCGUCUUAAGCAUGCAAGUCGAACGGCAAGAGGUAGCAAUACCUCCUAGAGUGGCGGACUGGUGAGUAACACGUGGGUGACAUACCCUUCAGAUGGGGAUAGCUAUUAGAAAUAGUAGAUAAUACCGAAUACGAGCACAGGGGUUAGAGAUCUGUGAGGAAAGGAGCUAAGGCUCCGCUGAAGGAAUGGCCUGCGGCCCAUUAGCUAGUUGGUGAGGUAAGAGCCCACCAAGGCGAUGAUGGGUAUCCGGCCUUAGAGGGUGAACGGACACAUUGGGACUGAGAUACGGCCCAGACUCCUACGGGAGGCAGCAGCUAAGAAUAUUCCGCAAUGGACGAAAGUCUGACGGAGCGACGCCGCGUGGAUGAAGAAGGCCGGAAGGUUGUAAAAUCCUUUUGAAACUGAAGAAUAAGCGUUGUAGGGAAUGACAGCGUGGUGACAGUAGGUUUUGAAUAAGCAACGGCUAAUUACGUGCCAGCCGCCGC
rnacentral:rRNA from 1 species